AUUGAACGCUGGCGGCAGGCCUAACACAUGCAAGUCGAGCGGAGCGGCGGACGGGUGAGUAAUUCCUAGGAAUCUGCCUGGUAGUGGUGGAUAACGUCGGGAAACGGGCGCUAAUACCGCAUACUAUCAGAUGAGCAUAGGUCGGAUUGGCUAGUUGGAGGGGUAAAGGCCUACCAAGGCUACGAUCCGUAACUGGUCUGAGAGGAUGAUCAGUAACAAUGGAACUGCGAGACGGUCCAGACACCAACGGUGGGUAGCAGUGGGAAAUUUUGGACAAUGGGAGAAAGCCGAAGCCAGCCAUGCCGCGUAGGUUAAAAAGGUCUUCGGAUUGUAAAGCACUUUAAGUUGGGAGGCGUUACCAGCAGAAUAAGCACCGGCUAACUUCGUGCCAGCAGCCGCGGUAAUAC
rnacentral:rRNA from 1 species